UCCGGACCAGGCUGGGGGGACAUUUGGAUGGGCUGGUGCUGGCCCCUAUGGAGGUGGGCUUGGAAGGGGAGGAUAUCCGCACCAGGCUGAGUAUCUGGUUCUAGAAGCCGGUUAAGGGUAGGCAGCUAGCCAAUCAGACAGCGCAGAACCUGCUCCACUGUUUGAUGGAGCUGCACAUGAAGGAAGUCACCAGCAGGGCGGCACCAGAGAUCCGGAUUCUGAACCUGUUCAAGAUUAAGCUGAGUGGUUGACUGUGCAGCGUAACACUAUGUGUUGCAAUUCUCCCCACAUAGGCUCAAGGAGCUCAACCUGGGAUACUCCAACAUCGGAAACAGAGGUCUUAGCAGGCUAGCUCUCUCUCUAUUACACCGCUGUGAAUCUCUUUAUCUGCGAUAUAACUGCCUGGAAAGGGAGGCAGCCAUCCUGGAAUCUGAGGUGUUGAAAUCAAAUGAGUGUCAGGUGAAAAAGCUGUUUAUGUGUGGUAACAACUUGGGUUCGGAAGGGUUUCUGGAGAUGUAGAAUGCCCUGGAGCAGAACACUACGCUGGAGGAACUCUACCUGGACACCACUGGCAUCACAGAGAGAGGAACAGAGAACAUUGUCAACUGCCUAGCAAGAACACCUCUCUGAAAACGCUGACCACCGUGGGGAAUGACAUUAGGGAGGUGGGGAAGAGGAGGCUGAGGGAGCUAGAGCAUCGACGGCCGGGGCUCCAGAUCAUUGGGAACUUUGUGGACGACAUAGGACUGGGUAGAGGAGAUACGGGAUGACCGGCACCAGAUGGACUCAGUGAAGAUCGCAGAUGCCCUA